GGCUUUCUUCGCGGCGGAGCUCGACCGCCCGUCCCGCUGAUCUGCCAGUACAUCGACCAGCGCAAGGAGGAGUUCGGGGUCGAGCCGAUCUGCACCGCCCUGACCCAGUCAGGCUGCAAGAUCGCCCCG
rfam:Actinomyces sp. oral taxon 178 str. F0338 genomic scaffold SCAFFOLD16, whole genome shotgun sequence.